ACUCCUACGGGAGGCAGCAGGCGCGAAAAUUGCCCAAUCCUGAUUCAGGGAGGCAGUGACAAGAAAUAACAACUCUCGACUAUGUUGAGAAGUGUAAUGAGGAUAAUUUACAAACCUUACCGAAAGCAAUUGGAGGGCAAGUCUGGUGCCAGCAGCCGCGGUAAU
rnacentral:rRNA from 1 species